rnacentral:lncRNA from 1 species
UGGAAAGUUACCGCCUGACGUGACCAAAGCCUCACCGGGGCACUGGCAGCCAAGAGGGAAGCGGAGGGCAGGCAAGAUGGAUCUUGGAUUCUCUGGAGCUAGAUGAUCUGGCCCCCGUCCUGUCCUCCAGCCCCACCCACCUCGGCUCCAUGCCCCCCCCAGUCAGCUUCGGGACCCUGGCAGUGAGCAGGCACGUGGCAGCCAAGGCCCUGUGACCAGGCCAGGGAGACGGAGCUCUGGGGUCCCAGUCACCUGCCCCCCCAUGGAGCUGAGACCCUGGUUGCUAUGGGUGGUAGCAGCAGCAGGAGCCUUGGUCCUGCUAGCAGCUGAAGCUCGCGGCCAGAAGAUCUUCACCAACACGUGGGCUGUGCACAUUUCUGGAGGCCCAGCUGUGGCUGAUAGUGUGGCACGGAAGCAUGGGUUCCACAACCUGGG